ACUCCUACGGGAGGCAGCAGUGGGGAAUAUUGCACAAUGGGGGAAACCCUGAUGCAGCCAUGCCGCGUGUGUGAAGAAGGCCUUCGGGUUGUAAAGCACUUUCAGUAGGGAGGAAGGUAGUGUAGUUAACACCUGCAUUAUUUGACGUUACCUACAGAAGAAGCACCGCUGAACUCAUGCCAGCAGCCGCGGGUAAUACGGAGGGUGCGAGCGUUAAUCGGAAUUACUGGGCGUAAAGCGCAUGCAGGCGGCCUGUUAAGUCAGAUGUGAAAGCCCGGGGCUUAACCUCGGAAUUGCAUUUGAAACUGGCAGGCUAGAGUCUUGUAGAGGGGGGUAGAAUUUCAGGUGUAGCGGUGAAAUGCGUAGAGAUCUGAAGGAAUACCAGUGGCGAAGGNGGCCCCCUGGACAAAGACUGACGCUCAGAUGCGAAAGCGUGGGGAGC
rnacentral:rRNA from 1 species